rnacentral:rRNA from 1 species
GGGUGAGUAAUGUCUGGGAAACUGCCUGAUGGAGGGGGAUAACUACUGGAAACGGUAGCUAAUACCGCAUAAUGUCGCAAGACCAAAGAGGGGGACCUUCGGGCCUCUUGCCAUCAGAUGUGCCCAGAUGGGAUUAGCUUGUUGGUGGGGUAACGGCUCACCAAGGCGACGAUCCCUAGCUGGUCUGAGAGGAUGACCAGCCACACUGGAACUGAGACACGGUCCAG